GCACAAGCGGUGGAUCAUGUGUUAAUUCGAUGAUACGCGAAGAACCUUACCAGGUCUUGACAUCCCUGACAACCCGAGAGAUCGGGCGUUCCCCUUCGGGGGACAGGGUGACAGGUGGUGCAUGGUUGCCGUCAGCUCGUGUCGUGAGAUGUUGGGUUAAGUCCCGCAACGAGCGCAACCCUCGACCUUAGUUGCCAGCAUUCAGUUGGGCACUCUAAGGUGACUGCCGGCUAAAAGUCGGAGGAAGGUGGGGAUGACGUCAAAUCAUCAUGCCCCUUAUGACCUGGGCUACACACGUGCUACAAUGGGCGGUACAAAGGGUCGCGAACCCGCGAGGGGGAGCCAAUCCCAAAAAGCCGCUCUCAGUUCGGAUUGCAGGCUGCAACUCGCCUGCAUGAAGCCGGAAUCGCUAGUAAUCGCGGAUCAGCAUGCCGCGGUGAAUACGUUCCCGGGCCUU
rnacentral:rRNA from 1 species